rnacentral:lncRNA from 1 species
CCCUUUAGUUCUCACAUAACCUCUCCUUCUCCCCUCUUGCCACCACCUUCACUGGGCUCACACCUCCCUCCUCUUCCUCUUUCUAGCCCAUGCCUCUUCUCUCUCUUGUCAUCCUCCCUUGGAGCCAAAAAGAGGGUGGGUGGUACAUAGGUAGUGGUGUCAAUUAGUUGGCGCCACUUAUUUGUUUCUUUUUCCCUUUACUCUCAAGUUUGUUAAAAGGUAGUUACAACUAAUCAUUGAUUGUUAUUCUUGUUGAUUAGUUGAAGGAUUAAGAAAAGGUUCUUGAUUUCUUUAAGAAUCAAGAAAGAAAGAUUAAAAGGGUUCAAAAUUAAAAGCCUCCUCAAGUUUGGUUCAAGCCUAUUUAGGCUUUGGUUCAAGCAAGCAGGAUCCAAGAGAAAAUAAUUCAGAUCGACCUUAUGGAUAUCUAUAGAGGCAGGAUCUUGUGCUGCUGAUUCAGAAUCUGUCCAGGCCCAGAUCCAAGGAUUGAAUCGAAUUCGACCCCAAUUACAGGUUUGAAGCGAAAUAAAAGCGAUUCAGGUAUGUGAAUUGAUUUCAGGCUUUCAUUUGUUCUUUCUAAAAUUAGUUUAUAUUAAUUUUAAUAUAUGAACUAAAGUCAUAGAUACUUUCAUAUGAUGAAUGCAUGCUUAAAUUAAAAAUAUUUUAAUCUGAUUUUUUUACUGUAUUUUAAAUUUAGAAAAAUUUUAAAAUUCACGUACACUUGCACCUAUAGAAAAUCCAAUAGCACCCUACCACC